ensembl:lncRNA
AUAGGGCCAAACUAUCCCAGUAAUCCAAACAGACCUACAUUUUGUUUGAAAAUGGUCUGUGCUAGUCCUUCAGAAAUCAAUCUUGAAAGUUAGGAGAUAAUCAUCACUGCGCCUCCCCUCUUUCGGGUGCAGGAGGGCCUAGAGGAGCUAUUCCACGUUGAAGGUCAGGAAGGGCGGCAGUGAGGAGAUACCCUUCAUCCAAGUAAGCAUCUGGACCAAGCUGGCCAUCUACAAGCAGGUGAUGAAGAGAUGUCACCUACAAGUAAGAGAGCUAAAGCGCAAAGAGAAAUCUUCAGCCUCGAAGAGAACUGGAGUUAUGCCAGGCACCAAGAGACUUGCUUUUGAAUGAAAUGGUAAGUGAGUAGAUGAGUAGAGCCCAAAAUCAUAUGCUCCCAGAAGUACAGAUUUAAAAAUCCUUCACUCAUUAAAGUAACUAAUAAGAAAGACUAUUUUCUCAGUCCAUACUUAGUGGCAUCGGAGGGUCUAUUACC